UAUAUACUUCCUCCGUUUUAAAAUUCUUGUUUUAGAUUUGUCUAGAUAUGAAUGUAUCUAAUCACGUUUUAGUAUUUUGAUACAUCCAUUUCUAGACAAACCUAAGACAAGAAUUUUAAGACGGAGGGAGUAGUCU
rnacentral:pre_miRNA from 1 species